AUCUUCAUAGUAUAAUCUUCCCUGCCUCUCAGCUGUGAACCACCCUCUAAUGCCUGCAGACAGUGAAAACAAUCCAAACUGGAAAUUUGCCUGGGCUGGGUUGUGUGGUAGUGAGACUACACUGAGGGCAGGGUGAGACGGAGCCAGGACAUCACUUGCUUCAGCUGUAUCAGAAGCCACGCGUCGGAUGAGGGGGACUUGGGACCACCAGGACCCUUUCUAGUGGGAGAUUUGUUUUCAAGGUCCCUCGAUUUCUCACUGCCCCAAGGAGAUACCCCCAUUAGCCAAGCCUUGGGAGAGCCUGCAGCUUGGCACUGGCCAGGGCCUAAGAAGAAGGGCUGAGAGAAUGGCAUUUCUGGCCUGCUGGCCCCAUGCUGCAGGUGCCUGCCCUGUCUCCCCACCCUUGCAGGUCCUGAGCCAGCUGGAGGCCUGUGGCCUCGUGGAGACCAUCCAUAUCAGUGCUGCUGGCUUCCCCAUCCGGGUCUCUCACCAAAACUUUGUAGAACGAUACAAGUUACUAAGAAGGCUUCAUCCUCGCACAUCCUCUGGCCCCGACAGCCCAUAUCCUGCCAAAGGGCUCCCUGAAUGGUGUCCACACAGCGAGGAAGCCACGCUUGAACCUCUCAUCCAGGACAUUCUCCACACUCUGCCAGU
rnacentral:sRNA from 1 species